GGGUAAGUCUUUUACGACCAGCUCCCGUCGAAUUCCCCCAGGACCGGAAGGUAGCAAGGGUAGAUGGUUGUAGCGGUGCGAUAAAAGUAGCUUACCCUUU
rnacentral:SRP_RNA from 1 species